UGAAGAAAGACUACCUCUGAUUGGACUC
rnacentral:piRNA from 1 species